GAACAAAAAUGCCACAGCAGAAGGAAAAUGGUGUCCUCCUUCCUGCAAACAUACCCUGGAAAGUUAUUUGCUGUUUUUUUUUUUUUUUUUAAGACAAUAUGCCUAUUGGAUAAAAAUAUAAGGAAAAUAUGUUAGUAUUAGUUGACCUCAGAGGAUGCCAAGGAAAAAUUUGAUGGAAAAUGUUAUUUUCUGUGAUAACAACAGAAACUUUCCUUGAGAGAAGGAUCAGUUUAUUCAUUUGAAACUGACAUGGUGUGAAUAAACACUUCACACUGAGAUAGUUCUUUAAGAUUUCACUGAAUUCCAGUGAGAAAAAAGAAAAUAACGUGAAGCAAGCUUUCUCAAAGUGUGGUCCCCAACUAGCAAUGAUAUCAUCACAUGAAAACUUGUCUAAAAGAUCCUCAAGCCCACCAACGCUUCCUCCAAGAAUCUUCAUGGACAGCCCCUGUAAGGUUGGCAAGCAGGCUGAAGUCACAACUGUCUUUAGCUGCGUUCACCACAGAAGAGCAAAGCGAAGAGGUGUUGCCACACUGACUCUAUUGGCAACCGUGUGUUGUAUGAAAUCCAAAGAUCUUCACAGAAAGGGCAAGAGAGAAGAGAAGGAUAGCAAUGAAGUCACCAAAACCAAAAAGUAUGGAUGGAAAGAGAGGGAAAAAUGAAUUAUCAGAAAUAAUGAAUUUGUAAGUUAAACCUUAAAAUCUAGAGAGAAGAAAAAAACUAGUUAAUAAAUUGAAAAUUCUAUUCCA
rnacentral:lncRNA from 1 species